UAUUAAGUAAAGAUCAUGUUUCAUGUAGUUAUUUUGUAAAUUUCCUACCAUAAAUAUAUCAAAACGUAAUUUUUGAUCAAGUAAUAUGCAUUGCUAAAAACUUCAUUUGGACAACUUUAAAGGUGAUUUUCUCAGUAUUUAGAUUUUUUUGCACCCUCAAGAUUUUCAAAUAGUUGUAUCUUAGCCAAAUAUUGUCUGACAAAUUUUUUGACAAAUUGACACUUAAGACUGGUUUUGUGGUCCAGGGUCACAUAUGUGCCUUAAUAAAUAGCAAAGCACAUUUUCUUCAAAAUCUAGUAUGUCCGUUCAUCUUAUUGUGUACAAUUCAUCAGUGUAUAUUAGUUUUGUUGUUGUUUUUUCCACAUGCCUUUGUAGUCUUUUAUUAAGGCAACAAAUUGCUCUGCUUCUGAAAAUUGCCUUUGUUUUAAUGUCAAUAUAAAAUCUAAAUAAUAAUUUCUUCAUUUCUUGAUUCAUAAAUCUGAAUGUAAUAAAAAAUACAUUAAUGAAUUAAAAAGGUCUUCAUAUUAUUUUAUCAAUUGGCAAUAAAAUUGCUAAAAUACCUUUUUAUUCUUUUAUUUAUUUAUUCCACUUCUAACCACCUGGGUCCAGUAUGGCAUAAGACACCCGGCAGUUGCUGUUCACAUGCACUGACGUUCCCAAAGCGGCUUGGCUUUACGCACAGUGCCCAUGAACCCGUUAUCAGAGCCCGUGGCCGUGAUAAUCGACCCCCGUCACGCACGGCACAAACUCACCCACUAGCUCGGUUCCCCACGCUCAUGGUUUCCAAGCGUUCUUCGCGUAAUAAUCCACGACUCGUGCGUUCAGAUGAGUGUUUGCACUCCAAACCACACAGCAGUGCGUGUCUCUCGCUCCUCGGCUUCUGCGCGAGUGAAAGCGCAGUGUGUGUGUGUGUGUGUGUUUGCGUGGGGGGUGGGUGUGUGUCUCCGGAGGCUUCUUGCACUGACUCUCUCUCUUUCUUCCUGAUAUGAGAAAGGCACCUAAAAAGCAGCGAUUCUGCACGCACGUUUCCUCAAAACGGCACGGAACUGCAGAAGCAUGUUUAUGACAUAAAUAAAUAUUUCAUUAAUAUUUCAAAAAGUGUGAUAUUAUGAUCAUGUGACAUUCGGAUAAAUAUAUAGUAAGCAUAUAAUGUAUAAUUAGUGCUUUGCAUUGUCUCAUCAUAAUUAUGGAAUUGAAACAUUUUAGGCAGAUGGAUGGUAGGCUAAAAAAAUCAC
rnacentral:lncRNA from 1 species